UCCGGGGUGGGGUAACUGGCUAACCCACCGGGUUUUGGUCCCGGUAAUGGAGGUUCGAGUCCUCCCCCCGGAG
rnacentral:tRNA from 2 species